UACGGAGGGUGCAAGCGUUGUUCGGAAUCACUGGGCGUAAAGGGCGUGUAGGCGGUCCGCUAAGUCUGAUGUGAAAGCCCGGGGCUCACCCCCGGAAGGGCAUUGGAAACUGGCGGACUCGAGUCUCGGAGAGGAAGGUGGAAUUCCUGGUGUAGCGGUGAAAUGCGUAGAUAUCAGGAGGAACACCGGUGGCGAAGGCGGGUCUCUGGGCAAUAACUGACGCUGAGGAGCGAAAGCGUGGGGAGCGAACAGG
rnacentral:rRNA from 1 species